UGCAUCGCUAAUAUUUGAUAACAAAAUGCAUCCACAUAUUUAUAUUUUAUCCCAAAAUAGUAUGCUUUAAAAUGGUACCAAUCUAAACAAGCCAUGCGUAAUUUUUUUUAGUACCAUGCGUUAUGAGACGAUAAAACAUGAAUAGUACUUUAUUUGUGACUUAUGUUUUUAUUUUUUAAGAAAAAUAGACGGACAAUUAAAGUUGGAUGCGAAAAAUCAUAACUACACGAAGGAUACUGAUUUACUUAUUGAUACUCGUCAACUGUAGGAGUAUAGUCUUAUCCUCUGCCCAGUGACCAGUGCAUCGAGUGGACAGGUGUGCUCCCCUCAGUCCUCCUGAAUCCUGAUGCAUUUUUCACCGCUGUUCCUAUUUCUCUUUUUUUUUUCUGUCAUCACGGCCUCAGGCAGCCUGCAUCGGAAAGCAUACACAGGCGGACAGAGAGAACAGAGAAGACCGAAGCUCAGCGUGGGUGGUGGCCGACGGAAGUUCUGCUUGUGGUCCAGCGUCGAUUUCCUCGGAUUUUACGGCUCAACGGGUCAGCACCGUCUUACGAUGAGUGACGGACGAAUCCGGCAGAAGAAGGGGGAGAAAAGAGAGGAGAUGGCGUUGUGCGCGGUGGUUGUCGGCCGACCAGAUUUGUCGUGUGGCGUUGCCAACUGCAAUCGCCCUUCUCUUCCCCAUCCUAAAAGAAGCUUCUUUUAGGAUCGAGGUGGCUCUCCUUGCCUGUUGAUGGUUGACGAUGGCGAUUUGUGGGAGGGGAGAUGGCGGCGGCUCGCGGGCAGGCAAGAUUGACUUUUUUAUUUUUAUCCUUUUUUUCUUUACAAUCCGCACCACAUUUUCGGAUUUUUCGCUAUGCAUUAAUUCCAGAUUUAUCUUCAAUUGGAACAAACACUCAAAGAUUGCAAUG